AAACAAAUACAUAUUGAUAAGCUUUAUAAGUCAUCAGGUUGAAUUCAUGAUGUUAUACAAACUUGUGUAUAAUAACUUGAACAUUAAAAUUUUAAAUUCUUAAAAAUCUAAAUAGUUCGACAUCAAAUAAACAUAAAAAUCUAAGUAUUUGCAUGAUGAUUUGAAUUUUAGUCAUUAAAUCCUUUAUUCAUGGUGACGUUAGCUCAAUCUCUGCAUCAGGCUGAAACAUUGAAAAUCGAAUAAAUGAUUAGAUAAACAUAUAUGGAUAUACAUAUAUCUUCAUACAUCAUCAUAAAAAAUUACAAAAUUCAUCUCAAAAACAAAUUCAUAUAUAUUGAUAAAUGUUUAUAAGAUUAUGGAUAAAAGAAAAUUACUUUAUUAAUGCCGAAACAUUAAAUUGUGAUUGAGAAAUUGUAAUAAUGUUCAUUUAAAAUUGUAGAAAAUUGUAAGAUAUACAAUACCUGCCUUAUGAUUUUCAAAAUUAUACAAUGGAUCAGAGUAUAUUGAUUGAAGUAUUCUCAAUUCUGUUAAUUUAUUUAUUAGACCCUUCUUGGCUUUAUUUUUAUGUUAUAUUAUUAUCAAUCACAAUCUAAGCUUUAAAACUGUUUUUUUUUUUAACUAAACAAAAAUAUAAUUAAAACUUAUCUGAAAUCAAUUAAAGGCCGAGUAUGAAUGACUUUACGAUGUUGUAGGAAUUCAAAAGAAAAAAUCUUAGAAUAUAUAAAAGUAUCUACAAAUUAAAUUUAACAACUUGCAAAAUACGUAUAUGCUUAUGAAAUAAAUAAUAAAAAGAAUUCAUGUGAUGCUCAAAUCCAUGUGAUAGAGAAUUACCUAUAUAUCUAUAAAAUUAUUUAUCAUCCAUUCCACUCUGCUGGACCUACAAAAGAUAAAGUCAAUUAGCAAAAAUCACAUAUAAAAAACAUCAAAUUAAAAGAGAAAAUUAGUUGAUGCUCAUCUUUCAUGUGUGGAAAGAAAACAAAGUAAAAAAGUGGUAAAGAAUGAAAGGUUUGUGACAAAGGGAAAGGAAUGAGGAUAAAAGAGAU
rnacentral:lncRNA from 1 species